rnacentral:rRNA from 1 species
AGUGAACGCUGGCGGUAGGCCUAACACAUGCAAGUCGAACGGCAGCACAGGAGAGCUUGCUCUCUGGGUGGCGAGUGGCGGACGGGUGAGGAAUACAUCGGAAUCUACCUUUUCGUGGGGGAUAACGUAGGGAAACUUACGCUAAUACCGCAUACGACCUUCGGGUGAAAGCAGGGGACCUUCGGGCCUUGCGCGGAUAGAUGAGCCGAUGUCGGAUUAGCUAGUGUGCGGGGUCAAGGCCCACCAAGGCGACGAUCCGUCGCUGGUCUGAGAGGAUGAUCAGCCACACUGGAACUGGGACCCGGGCCAGACUCCUACGGGAGGCAGCAGUGGGGAAUAUUGGAUAAUGGGCGCAGGCCUGAUCCAGCCAGACCGCGUGGGUGAAGAAGGCCUUCGGGUUGUAAAGCCCUUUUGUUGGGAAAGAAAAGCAACCAGUUAAUACCUGGUUGUUCUGACGGUACCCAAAGAAUAAGCACCGGCUAACUUCGUGCCAGCAGCCGCGGUAA